rnacentral:rRNA from 1 species
AGGACGAACGCUGGCGGCGUGCUUAACACAUGCAAGUCGAGCGGAAAGGCCCUUCGGGGUACUCGAGCGGCGAACGGGUGAGUAACACGUGAGUAAUCUGCCCCUAGCUCUGGGAUAGCUCCGGGAAACCGGGAUUAAUACCAGAUACGACCACUUUAGACAUCUGUUGUGGUGGAAAGAAUUUUGGCUAGGGAUGAGCUCGCGGCCUAUCAGCUUGUGGUGAGGUAACGCUCACCGAAGGCGACGACGGGUA